AACGAUGAUGAAAUUGCUCCGUGACAACAUGGGUAGUCACAACAUGUCCACCUUCUCAGGUGAUAGAAGAGCACCUCUGAGCUA
rnacentral:snoRNA from 1 species